UGGGCACACUCUGCAUAUCUCUAAUUUAAGUUGUGGACGAGACAAAUUUUAGCUUUAGUGGAUCAUAUCUAGCAUAUGAUGCAUUCAUGUAUUAUGCCAUUUUUCUCAGCAAUUUCAUGACAGAGUCCGCUAAAUUUUUCUUCUUUUAUUUUUUUGCAAGCCAUUUAUUUCUUUUAUUUAUAUUAUGCUAUUCUUGAUACUUACUUUCUUUUAAUAAGUUUAAUAAUCAGAUUUUGUCAGUUUGCUCAGGAAGGUUCGAGACUAUGAAAAACGAAGAAAUAAAUAAGUACAUCACGUUUUCCGUGCAUAAAAUCACUCUAUAUAUGCUUGCUCUAACGCAAUUAGACUUAAAGUGGUCCAAUACUGAAAACUACAUAUAGUUUCUAUACCUAAUAAUUUCUAUAAACACUAUGUAUAAUAAUUAUAGUAUCAAUGGAUAGUUUUUUUUGGAAUAAUUUUUUAUCCAAUCAUAUACAUUCUCUUUCCAUUCUCCACCAAUUACAUCUGUUCAUAUCUUGGUUCUCAUGUAGACAUGAUUUCUAUAAUUUUUUAUCUUUCUCUUUAAUAAAGGUAGUUCCAAUAAGGUAUUAAUGGUAGUUUCUAUCUAUCUUAAUUAACUUGGCAAAUGAAUUAAGGAAAAGAGAGAGUGCAGAAACAAGAAAUCGUUUGUUGGUGAAGGAACGACGUCCUCUCUUGAAUCGAGAUACGAAGAAACCACCGAAACAGCAUUGGGGAGACACGACUCGAUUCCAUCACUCUCCUCCCGGAUCCAGUACGCCGGCGGCUGACGCUAGUUCUUCUUCUCUCCGCGGCCAGGAUCCGCUCGACCAUUUGUCCCAUUUCUUCUCCUUUUUUGCCAGAGCAGUGGACGCGGACAUACUGCUGCCGCCAUUGCCGGCGCUGCCCUCGCUCGCCCCUCCGGUAGCCAAGGCUGCCCGACUACGCCCAACCUUGCUGCCUGGAUUGACUUGCCGCCGCGAAGAGCCCACUGCCCCUGCCCAUCCCUCUGCAGUCUGCACGUACAUCGC
rnacentral:lncRNA from 1 species